rnacentral:lncRNA from 1 species
UAUAAUAGAACAAUAAAAAUUGGAUUUGCACAUUGUUCGGUUGAAUGUUAAAAAGUACUCGUUGUAAAGUUAUACUGUUUCGGCGCAACUGAGUAGUCUAAUAUUGUUCCGGUUUUGGUUCUUGUGAAUAUUGGCAUCGAUUCUCUCGAAAUUUACCCUCUCGGGGCAUAAUAGAACAAUAUAAUUAGGUUUUACACUUUGUUCGAUUGAUUGAGAAAAAGUACUCGUCGCAAUGUUUUACUGUUAGGGCGCAAUUGAGUAGUGCAAUGUUGUUCCGAUUUUAUUUCUUGUGAACGUUGACAUCGAUUCGUUCCAACUUUACACUCUCGGGGCAUAAUAGAACAAUAUAAUUUUGUUUUGCACUUUGUUCGGUUAAAUGAGAAAAUGUACUCUUUGCAAAGUUAUACUGUUAGAGCGCAACUGAGUAGCAUAAUAUUGGCAUCGAUUCGUUCCAAAUUUACCCUCUCGGGGCAUAAUAGAACAAUAAAAAUUGGUUUUGCACGUUGUUCGGUUGAAUGUGAAAAAGUACUCAUUGCAAAGUUAUACUGUUAGGGCGCAACUGAGUAGUCUAAUGUUGUUCCGCUUUUGGUUCUUGUGAACUUUGCCAUCGAUUCGUUCGAAAUUUACACUCUCGGGGUAUAAUAGAAUAAUAUAAUUUAGUUUUACACUUUGUUCGGUUGAGUGAGAAAAACUGCUCGUUGCAAAGUUAUACUGUUCGGGCACAACUGAGUUGUCUAAUGUUGUAANUUUUUUUUUUUUUGGCCUUUUGGGCGACAGGGUGAGGCCGUGAGGGCAGUGAGGCAGAGCGGGUUUUGGGCGAGGCAAACCGGAUUCUGGGCCGAUUUUUUGGACCAAAUUAUUUGCGAAUCCCGUUUAAUUCGCGAAUAAUUUUUUUUACCCAAAAAAAGUAAAUUUUUCUAAAUUUUUGGAAAAAAUACGAAAACGAGAGUUUUAUUCGGUAUUUCAAAAAUUUGCAAAUAAUUCGCGAGUAAUAGGUAGUCAACUGGCUCGUCAUAUGUCCAAGAAGUAAAACUAUUUAUUUGUUCAUCAAUCUCGUGGCUCACUCAAGGAUUCGCCCACUAUUUACAUUGCUAUCUUGACACGUAGGGAGACUAGACUCAAACUAUGAAUCCGAGACCGUCUGCGGGACCCCACAUAGGCCAUCCCUGGGGACCCCAAAUAGGCCAUCCCUAUCCCACAAUGUCACGCCCUGGGACCGGCGGAGGCCCUCCCGAUAACGCGCCCAAACCCGCCAUAUGUCUACACAUAUAAGGCGUCUACAAUAAAAGCAGAAGUAAAGCAAGAGAUAGAAUAAAUAGAAUGAAUAGCAACUAAUGAUAUCAGAGCAAGUAAAGUUCUAUCAUCUAAAUCAGAGUAAAAGAAACAUAUCUAAACAAUAAAAGUAACCAUAAGUAAUACAAUAUCUGUCUUAAAGGUACACAAAAGGGGGGUCUCUAAUACACUGGUACAGCUCUCAACCUCUUCAAAAAGAAAUACAUCGAGAGGUAGACCACCUAAACUCGUCACUCGUUGAAGGGCUAAUUCGAAGCAGCGCCCUUCCCACGGUCCCUAACCUCUCCCGGCGUGGAAGGCUCUGAAAGAAAUCAUGAAACAGAGGGCGUGAGAACUAUAAUUUAUAGUUCCCAGUGGGCAAUUACUAACCUCAGCUCAAUGCACCACUAGGCCCCAAAAGGAAAGAGUAAGUCGAAAGCAAUAGUAAUAACGAGUAAUUUGCAUUUAUGAAAGUAUAAUGAAAAUGCUAAACUACUACUUGCAAUUAAACAUGACAUUUAUGUAAUGCACAAUUAUCGUGUCAUGAAGGAUAUGUCUCUACUUAGCCAUAAAUAAUGUCAUGGUUUGCUUAAUGAAAUUAUGAGGAUUAUCCUUUAUCAUAGCAACAUUGUAUAUAUGAAUGCAAAUAAGCAAUGUCUCCUAGCAUACUACAUGUAUGUUUGUAUACCCAAAUGUCCAAAUUUCUGCUAGAAGCAAGUCCGAGUAAUCCAACUACUACUCUCUAUCUAGUAAUGAUUAUAACAUACUCAUCCCGUGUCGAUUUUCAUUUCCAAUUAAGGACCUACCCAAGGUAGUCCAGCUUGUGCCGCCUAAGUGCCUGUGGUAGCCCAACAUCCCUACUCUUGGAAUGUGUCUGUCCCACUCGACCCCGUAGGCUUCUCAAUACCGCACGAGCGAACAUAGUCGCGUAGGCUGACUCCGGAGUGCCGGCUUGUAGGGAGCGACCCUCACAAGCAUGUGCGAAUGAGCACAAAUGGCAAACAAGCAAGGUCAAUGUCUCAAAUAUCCAAUCAUCAUGUCUCUAACAUGGCAAUAAUCACUAGCAUCUCGAAGAUCUAGUUCUAUGUCACAAUGUGAAAUUCUCAUAUUUACUAAGUCUAGUGCCCCUUUAUGACACUUAGACAUUUCGAUGUACAAGCAUGUUCCAAUUCUCUCAAUGGCACUAUCCACUAGGUUCGCACAUGACCGAGCUCAAUGCCCCUUUAUGACAUUAGCCCAAUUAUUCAUAAGUAGUACAAGUCCCCAAGCCUCUUUAUGGCUUACUAAGGUUCUGAUGUCACGAUUAGGCAUAAAGGUUAAAUGCAUAAUAGCAAUGUCCAAUUUCAUAAUUGGAAUCAUAGUUCCAAAUCUCAACUAGGAUGCUAUAUCUCACAUGCAUGCACUCUACCACAUAGAGGUCCAAAAAUUUAUUAUACAUUACAUAUGCAUGUUAAGCAUUGAAAAAUUCAUAAUAAAUGAAUCUAACAUGAUUAUGCAUGCUUUUGCAUUUUACAAUACUUAAAACAUCAACAAUGAGAUUUUCUCAUUGUGUGGCUAGGUCAAACCCACCGAACCGUCGCGUGCUCCUUCGAUUCGCCGAACGGGAUUGUCCACGAGUCUCAAAAUACCCUAAAAGUAUUGAGCGAAGAGAUACACGGGUAUUACGAUCAACUAUAAGAUCAAACUUUAACAAACUUAGCAAAAGGGCUAAAACUCACCUAAUGUGUAGGAAAUCUCUCUCAAGCUCCAAAAGGGAGCUAAAUCCCUUCCAAUCCAAGCCCAAGGAAGGUUCUAAUCCAAACAAUCUAGCUCCAAAAGCCCUAGAUUUAAAAUGCCCAAAAUCAAACCCUAAGUUCCAAAUCUAAGGUUUCAUCUCAAGAAAGCUCUAAAAUUUAAAACUAGAGAAAAGGAUCUUGCCACUUACCUCUUAGAAGCUUCAAAACAAGCUCAAAGUCCACAAACUUCUAGGAUCUUCCCUCCACCAAGCUCCAAACCCAAGUUUCCAAGCUUCAUCCAUGGUGGAAAAGGCACCAAAGGGCAAAAGAGAAGAAAAAUCCAUCAAAAACCAUGCAAAUUGGUGAUCAAAUCCAAAGAGGCAACAGAGGACUGCUCUUACCUUGUCUCCCUAUGCUCUCAGCUCAGAAAAAUGCCCUAGGGGCGUGGGGGGUUCUAAUAGAAGAGCUACAAAAGCAAAAACAUCCCUUCAGAUCAAACUGUGCGAAAUCAGUCCCCUUGUACCGGUACACAGGCUCUUGUACCGGUACAAGAGCCACGAAAAUGCCAACCCGAGGCUCGGAUCGCGGGGUUCAGCAGCUCUGUACCGGUACAAGCCAGUGGCUGUACCGGUACAACCAUCAACCUUGUACCGGUACAGCCAUCAGCCCUGUACCGGUACAAGCCCGGCAGAAUGCAAUCCGAGAGUCAGCCAAAUCCCGUUUUUUCGGAUUUUGGUGCAAGGCUUUAAAGCACAAUUCUCGGGACACGUGCCAUAGGUCGGAACACAGUCAACGACCCACCAGAAAAUAUGGAAAAGCUCAGAACACACCCAAAAUACUCGAACCUCGCAAUUUGCAAAGGUCCAGUGUGUUACAUUCACCCCUCCUAAAAAGGAGUUUCGUUUGCGAAACUCCAAAAGUAAAGAUACCUCAAGCCUCCAUCUGAAAAAGAUGGGGAUAGCGCUCUCGCAGCGCGCUCUGCAACUCCCAAGUGGCCUCGCGCUCGUCGUGGUUGCUCCAAAGCACCUUCACGUAGGGAAUCUCACGGUUCCGCAGUCUUUUUACCUCACGAGCCAAAAUCCUCAAAGGUUGCUCUUCAAAGCUCAAGUUAUCCCGUAGCUCCAAAGGUGUAGCAUCCAACACGUGAGCCGGGUCGUGGAUGUACUUCCGAAGGACCGAUACAUGGAAUACAUUGUGUACACCUGAUAGGUUCGGCGGUAGAGCAAGUCUAUACGCUACCGGGCCUACACGCUCCAAAACCUCAAACGGUCCAAUGAAUCGGGGGCUCAACUUGCCUCGGAUUCCAAAUCGUCUAAUCCCUCGAGUCGGCGAGACUUUCAAGAAGACGUGAUCUCCAAUCUGAAACUCCAAGUCUCGUCGCUGCCUGUCAGCAUAGCUCCUCUGCCUACUCUGGGCUGUCAACAGUCGCUCCGGAGCAAUGCGAACCUUGUCAUCUGCUUCCUGGAGCACAUCAGGCCUUAAAGCCAAUCUCUCGCCAACUUCACUCCAAUGAAGUGGCGAUCUACACUUCCGUUCAUAGAGUGCCUCGAACGGUGCCAUCUUGAUGCUUGAUUGAUAACUGUUGUUAUAAGCAAACUUUGCCAUCGGUAGAUGCUGCGACCAUCCUCCCUAGAAGUCAAUCACGCAAGCUCGAAGCAUGUCCUCGAGAGUCUGUAUAGUACGUUCCGACUGCCCAUCACUCUGAGGGUGGAAAGCUGUACUGAAGUCCAAGCGCGUAUCCAGAGCGUCCUGUAAGCUCCUCCAAAAGUGUGAUACAAAACGGGGGUCUCAAUCCGAUACUAUAGAAGUAGGUACCCCGUGCAGUCGCACAAUCUCAUCCAAAUAAACCUGUGCGAGCCUCUCACCAGUCCAAGUAGUGUGGAUAGGUAUGAAAUGUGCCGAUUUCGUCAAUCUAUCCACAAUCACCCAAAUAGCGUCAUGCCCGGCCUGUGAGCGAGGCAAUCCCAUCACGAAAUCCAUAGUGAUCUUUUUCCAUUUCCACACUGGAAUUGGUAGACUCUGCAACUUCCCUGCAGGAACUCGGUACUCAGCCUUCACCUGUUGGCAAGUUAAACAUCUAGCAACAAACUCACCAACAUCUUUUUUCAUUCCGGGCCACCAGUAAACCAACUUCAAGUCCUUGUACAUCUUGGUGUCUCCCGGAUGUAUAGCAUACGGUGCUCGGUGGGCUUCUUGAAGAAUAUCCUCUUUAAUGCCCAAGUCCGCCGAUACACAAAGUCGUCCGCGGAAACGCAUCAGUCCAUCACCGUCAGAAGUGAAGUCACCGGUGCAACCAUCAACCAUCUUAGCUCGAAUCUUUUGUAACUCCGAGUCGGAAGCUUGCUUUUCUUUAAUCUUUUCCAAAAGUGUAGGUUGCACCACCAAAGUCAUCAGUCUCAAAGGUGUAUCAGGAGCCACCACCUCCAACUCCAACCGCUUCAUCUGCUUGAUCAACGGCGGUUGAGUAACCACAAGCAUCGUUAAGUUUUCCGUCGAUUUCCUACUUAGCGCAUCAGCCACCACGUUAGCCUUGCCCGGGUGGUAAAGUAUCGUCAAAUCAUAAUCCUUGAGUAGCUCCAACCAUCUGCGCUACCUCAAGUUCAACUCCUUCUGAGUGAAUAGAUACUUUAAGCUUUUGUGAUCCGUAUAUACUUCGCAUCGCUCGCCGUAUAAGUAGUGGCACCAUAGUUUCAAUGCAAAGAUCACGGCCGCCAACUCUAAGUCGUGAGUAGGGUAAUUCCUUUCAUAAUCCUUCAGUUGGCGAGAUGCAUACGCGAUCACUUUCCCGUCCUGCAUCAAAACACAUGCCAAUCCAUUAAAAGAAGCAUCACUAUAAAUCACAUACCCUACUCCUGCAGUCGACAAGGUAAAGAUCGGGGCGGUCGUCAAUCUCUGUUUUAGCUCUUGAAAGCUCCUUUCGCACGCAUCAUUCCAAAUAAAUUUGGUGCCCUUAUGCGUGAGUCUCGUGAGGGGAGUAGAUAACUUUGCAAAUCCCUCAACAAACCGUCGGUAGUAGCUGGCCAAACCAAUGAAGCUCCGUAUCUCGGUCACACUCGUCGGCCUCGGCCAAUCCUUGAUAGCUUCAAUUUUUCUCGGGUCCACGGCUAUGCCUGAUCCAGAAAUCAAAUGGCCCAAAAACGCCACAUCUCUAAGCCAAAAUUCACACUUUUUCAACUUGGCAUAGAGCUUCUUUUCCCGAAGCAGUUGAAGUACAAGUCUCAAGUGUUCAUCGUGAUCCGCAUCACUUCGGGAGUAGACCAAAAUGUCGUCGAUGAACACCACGACAAACCUGUCUAAAUAAGGCUUGAAAACACGGUUCAUUAGAUCCAUAAAAGUUGCCGGGGCAUUAGUAAGCCCAAACGGUAUAACAGUAAACUCAUAGUGUCCAUACUGUGUUCUAAAAGCCGUCUUUGACACAUCCUCAGGUCUGAUCCUCAACUGGUGAUAUCCCGACUACAAGUCAAUCUUGGAAUAUACACAAGAUCCCUGGAGCUGAUCAAAUAGAUCGUCGAUCCUCGGCAAUGGAUACUUGUUCUUGAUCGUGACUUUAUUAAGUUCACGAUAGUCCACACAUAAGCGCAGUGAUCCAUCCUUCUUCUUCACAAAUAAAAUCGGUGCUCCCCAAGGUGACACACUCGGUCGCACAAAAUCCUUGUUCAAAAGAUCAUGUAACUGUGCCUUCAGCUCCUUCAAUUCUGCUGGUGCCAUCCUAUAGGGUGCCUUUGAGAUCGGGGUAGUUCCGGAGACGAGAUCUACCACAAACUCAAUCUCCCUAUCAGGAGGCAUCCCUGGAAUCUCCGCUGGAAACACAUCUGUAAACUCCCGCACUACGAGGAUAUCCUCAAUCCUAGGGGCGUCCGCAUUGCCCCGCAACACGACAGUAGCCAAAUAGGCUACGCAGCCUCUACUAAUCAACUGCCUAGCUCGAGAGGAGCUAAUCGUCAUCGCAAACAGCGAACUUUGGCUUUGGUACAGCUAACCUCCGCCUGCCCUGGCUCUCUAAAAGUCACCUUCGAUCCUUACAAUCGAUUAGUGGCAAAAUACUUAGUGAACCAAUCCAUGCCCAACACAACAUCAAUCCCCGAGUUUAUGCAGGCAAUAGCAAGUCUAUGGGCUGAUGCAAUCUCCAAACCAAUAGGCACUGGGGCAAAUUCCCGACGUCCAAGGAAUGAUCGGUCAAACAACUCGUCCCGGUGCAACAAGAGAUACAAGUGGUGAUGCAUGCAGAUCGGCGAACAGCCGAUCAAUGAAUGAAUGCGAGCCGCAGUAUCAAAUAAUGCUCUAACUCGAUAUGCAUGAAGUAAAAUGAUCUACUGCGACCACAUUCUCGGCGUCGCCGCCUCCUCAGUCCUGGCCCGUACAAGCGCCCGCUCGGGCCUGUCGCUGACCCUCGACCUGUAGCCUGACAGUGGGCGAUUCCGCGUGGUGAUGCGAGAAGAUGUCUAACUGGAUCCGCGAUGCUGGUCAGAUCCGAAUGCGCGCUGAGCAAUGGCUGGUCGGGCAGUCCGACUGGAAGUGAGCCCUCCUGGCCCAACAGCAACACGCCCGGUGCCAGUUGAACAGCUGUCGGGUAAUGCAUUAAAGGAAAUGCCUCCAAAGAGUCGAGAUGUUCGACGUGCCGCCAUCAGAUCACGCGACAGGGGAGUACCUACCGUCGGCUCCUCACUGCGCUGAAGAUAGACUGGCACGUCUCACGGACUGUGCGGCUUGAGCUCGGCGCUUCCAGUGAUGCGUUGGCUCGCACCUCACGGGCGCUCUUGCCUCCAUAGUCAACUCUGCAAACGCCCUGCCCUUUCCGCUUCUCCUGAUGCAAUCCGCCGCUCCUGCUCCACUAUCAAAUCGAUCCCACAACCUCCGAUAGUCUGAGCUUGGAAAUAUCGUAAAGAAUUACAUGAUCUCGUUCCAACUUGCACACUUCGGGGCAUAAAAAACAAUAAAUUGUUUUAUCAUUUGUUUCUUGAAUUGAAAAAAGUACUCGUACAAAGUUAAACUGUUAGGCGCGCAACUGGGUAGUCUAAUUACUUAGCAGAUAUUUUGUUCUUGUGAACGUUGACACCGAUUUGUUCGAAAUUUACCAUCUCGGGGCAUAAUAGAACAAUAUAAUUUGGUUUUACACUUUGUUCGGUUGAAUGAGAAAAAGUACUCGUUGCAAAGUUAUACUGUUAGCGCUCAACUGAGUAGUCUAAUGUUGUUCCGGUUUUGCUUCUUGUGAAUAUUGACAUCGAUUCGUUCGAAAUUUACCCUCUCGGGGCAAAAUAGAAAUAAUAUAAUUAGGGUUUCCACUUUGUUCGAUUGAAUGAGAAAAAGUACUCGUUGCAAAGUUAUACUGUUAGGGCGCAAUUGAGUAGUCUAAUGUUGUUUCGAUUUUUGUUCUUGUGAACGUUGACAUCGAUUCGUUCCAACUUGACACUUUCGGGGCAUAAUAAAAUAAUAUAAUUUGGUUUUGCACUUUGUUCGGUUAAAUGAGAAAAUGUACUCGUUGCAAAGUUAUACUGUUAGGGCGCAACUGAGUAGUCUAAUGUUGUUCCGAUUUUGGUUCCUGUGAACGUUGACAUCGAUUCGUUCCAACUUGACACUCUCGGGGCAUAAUAAAACAAUAUAAUUUGAUUUUGCACUCUGUUCGGUUAAAUGAGAAAAUAUACUCGUUGCAAAGUUAUACUAUUAUGGCGCAACUGAGUAGUCUAAUGUUGUUCCGGUUUUGGUUCUUGUGAACGUUGACAUCGAUUUGUUCGAAAUUUACAUUCUCGGGGCAUAAUAGAAUAAUAUAAUUUGGUUUUGCACUUUGUUCGGUUAAAUGAGAAAAUGUACUCGUUGCAAAGUUAUACUGUUAGAGCGCAACUGAGUAGUCUAAUGUUGUUCCGGUUUUGGUUCUUGUGAACGUUGACAUCGAUUCGUUUCAACUUGACACUCUCGGGGCAUAAUAAAAUAAUAAAAUUUGGUUUUCCACUUUGUUCGGUUGAAUGUGAAAAAGUACUCGUUGCAAAGUUAUACUGUUAGGGCGCAACUAAGUAGUCUAAUGUUCAUCCCGUUUUUGUUCUUGUGAACGUUGACAUCGAUUUCUUCGAAAUUUACCAUCUCGGGGCAUAAUAGAACAAUAUAAUUUGGUUUUGCACUUUGUUCGGUUAAAUGAGAAAAUGUACUCGUUGCAAAGUUAUACUGUUAGGGCGCAACUGAGUAGUCUAAUGUUCUUCCGGUUUUGGUUCUUGUGAACGUUGACAUCGAUUCGUUCGAAAUUUACAUUCUCGGGGCAUAAUAGAACAAUAUAAUUUGGUUUUGCACUUUGUUCGGUUAAAUGAGAAAAAAUGUACUCGUUGCAAAGUUAUACUGUUAGAGCGCAACUGGUUGGUCAAAUAUUGUUCCGAUUUUGGUUCUUUUGAACGUUGACAUCGAUUCGUUCCAACUUGACACUCUCGGGGCAUAAUAAAAUAAUAAAAUUUAAUUUUGCACUUUGUUCGGUUGAAUGUGAAAAAGUACUCGUUGCAAAGUUAUACUGUUAGGGCGCAACUGAGUAGUCUAAUGUUCUUCCGAUUUUUGUUCCUGUGAACGUUGACAUCGAUUCGUUACAACUUGACACUCUCGGGGCAUAAUAGAACUAUAUAAUAUGGUUUUAUACUUUGUUCGGAUGAAUGUGAAAAAGUACUCGUUGCAAAGUUAAACUGUUAGGGCGGAACUGAGUAGUCUAAUGUUGUUCCGGUUUUUGUUCUUGUGAACGUUUACAUCGAUUUGUUCGAAAUUUACCCUCGCGGGGCAUAAUAAAAUAAUAUAAUUAGGGUUUCCACUUUGUUCGAUUGAAUGAGAAAAAGUACUCGUUGCAAAGUUAUACUGUUAGGGCGCAAUUGAGUAAUCUAAUGUUGUUCCAGUUUUGGUUCGUGUGAACGUUGACAUCGAUUCGUUCCAACUUCACACUCUCGGGGCAUAAUAGAACAAUAUAAUUUGGUCUCGCACUUUGUUCGGUUAAAUGAGAAAAUGUACUCGUUGCAAAGUUAUACUGUUAGGGCGCAACUGAGUAGUCUAAUGUUGUUCCGGUUUUGGUUCCUGUGAACGUUGACAUCGAUUCGUUCCAACUUAACACUCUCGGGGCAUAAUAAAAUAAUAAAAUUUAAUUUUGCACUUUGUUCGGUUGAAUGUGAAAAAGUACUCGUUGCAAAGUUAUACUGUUAGGGCGCAACUGAGUAGUCUAAUGUUGUUCCGGCUUUGGUUUUUGUGAACGUUGACAUCGAUUUGUUCGAAAUUUACCCUCUCGGGGCAUAAUAGAACAAUAUAAUUUGGUUUUCACUUUGUUCGGUUGAAAGAGAAAAAGUACUCGUUGCAAAGUUAUACUGUUAGGGCUCAACUGAGUAGUCUAAUGUUGUUCCUGUUUUGGUUCU